rnacentral:lncRNA from 1 species
NNNNNNNNNNNNNNNNNNNNNGCCGGGGCCGAGCCGAACCGGGCCGGGGCCGAGCCGAACCGGGCCGGGGCCGAGCCGAACUGGGCUGGGGCCAGGCUGAACCGGGCCGGGGCAGGGCCGAACUGGGCCGGGGCCCGGCUGAACCGGGUCAGGGCAGAGCCGAACCCGGCCGGGGCAGAGCUGAACCGGACCAGGGCAGGGCUGAACCGGGCCGGGGCCGGGCCAAACCAGGCCAAAGCAGAACCGAACUGGGCCCAGGCAGAGCCAGAGCUGAGACAAACAGGGCAGAGCCGCUCUCGAGGUCUCUCCCUGCAGCUCGGGGCUCACCCUGUUCCCAGCCCAGGAGGACCCUGCUCCAAAACCUCCUGUCUCCCAUCCUCGGGCAUCCCCCAGCCCCCUUCUGCAUGGGUGAUGUCUCCAAACUGGUGCUUUGCGGACACCCGCUGCUGCUCCUGGAAUAAAAACGGUCCAACUCCAGUGGCUGUGGGCCUGGUGUCGGGGGAGGCUGCGGUCAGGGGAGCAGGUACGCAACAGCACAGUACAGCGAGGGCACGAGGCAGGCCUGGCGCUAGCAAGAGCAGACGGCUGUGGGCAGGCAGGCAGGGCACAGAUGCUCUGCCAAGGGACAGAGGCUCUGCCGGGCCCCUCUGGCAUGCAGCUGAAGUCAGGGUGGGCCGUGACCCAGCUGCAGGAUGUCCCACCAUGUUGGGGUGGCUAACAGUUCUGCAAACACCACAUCUUCACCCAAGUGUAGGCUGGAAAAACAGUCCCAAGCAUCCCACAGGCAUCUCAGCAUCCCUCUGAGCCAGGAACCUUGGUCCAGGGAGGGGAAAGGCCACUGACUCACCCCACCACGCUGUGAGUCAGCAGCAGGACUGGGACAGGAACCGCGUCCGGACACUUCUGUCCUCGCUCUGCCCCCUCAGCCACGCUCCGCCUCGGAAACAUCCCAUCCUCCUGGGCAGGGUAGAGAUAGGCUGGGGAGAGGGCUUGGGAGGAGGGCAUGGCUCACCUGGGCUGCCAGGUCUGCAGGGCAGGGGAAUGGUCCGGCUGUUUCCCGUCGCACUUGACAUGUGCCCAAUCUGAGCGGCACCUGGCAGCGCUGCCUGCGGGAUGGGGCACGUCUCGUAGCCAGCAGCGAGCCCCCCGGCCGGUGCCACUGCC